UGGCUCUCGCAUCGAUGAAGAACGCAGCGAAAUGCGAUAAGUAAUGUGAAUUGCAGAAUUCAGUGAAUCAUCGAAUCUUUGAACGCACCUUGCGCUCCUUGGUAUUCCGAGGAGCAUGCCUGUUUGAGUGUCAUGGUAUUCUCAAUUCUCUCAGUUUUUGCUGGGAUGAUAUUGGACUUGGAGGUUAUUGCCGGCAUCCUUGUGAAACCGGCUCCUCUUAAAUGCAUCAGUGUGAAUAUUCACUUCAUACUCAGUGUGAUAAUUAUCUACGCUGUGCAUGGGUGAUGUGACUUCAUGCUUCAAACCGUCGCAAGACAUUCCUUUGACUUCUGACCUCAAAUCAGGUAGGAUUACCCGCUGA
rnacentral:misc_RNA from 1 species